rnacentral:lncRNA from 1 species
UCCCCCCCUUAAGAACAUUCGUCCUCGAAGGUUCCUAAAACACACAAUUAACACAUGAAACGGAGAAAACUAACCUCAAAACAAAUAUGGAUACUGCUGGAGCAUAGACUCCCGCGUCUCCCAGGUGCACUCUUCUAGAUUAUGGUGGUUCCAUAGAACUUUCACCAUCGGAAUCUCCUUGUUCCUUAGCUGUCUGAUCUGCGUGUCCAGAAUCCGCACUGG